UACGUAGGGGGCGAGCGUUGUCCGGAUUUAUUGGGCGUAAAGAGCGUGUAGGCGGCCAGGUAGGUCUGCUGUGAAAACUCGAGGCUCAACCUCGAGACGUCGGCGGAAACCAUCUGGCUAGAGUCCGGAAGAGGAGAGUGGAAUUCCUGGUGUAGCGGUGAAAUGCGCAGAUAUCAGGAAGAACACCCGUGGCGAAGGCGGCUCUCCGGGACGGUACUGACGCUGAGACGCGAAAGCGUGGGGAGCGAACAGG
rnacentral:rRNA from 1 species